CUACGGGUUGCUGCAGUGAGGAAUAUUGCACAAUGGGGGAAACCCUGAUGCAGCAACGCCGCGUGGAGGAUGACGCAUUUCGGUGUGUAAACUCCUUUUAUAUGUCAAGAAAAUGACGGUAGCAUAUGAAUAAGCACCGGCUAACUCCGUGCCAGCAGCCGCGGUAAUACGGAGGGUGCAAGCGUUAUUCGGAAUCACUGGGCGUAAAGGACGCGUAGGCGGAUUAGAAAGUCAGGUGUGAAAGCCUACAGCUUAACUGUAGAACUGCACUUGAAACUCCUAGUCUAGAGUAUGGGAGGGGGAGAUGGAAUUAGUGGUGUAGGGGUAAAAUCCGUAGAUAUCACUAGGAAUACCGAAAGCGAAGGCGAUCUCCUGGAACAUUACUGACGCUAAGGCGUGAAAGCGUGGGGAGCAAACAGGAUUAGAUACCCCGGUAGUC
rnacentral:rRNA from 1 species